UGGGGAAUAUUGCACAAUGGGGGAAACCCUGAUGCAGCGACGCCACGUGAACGAAGAAGGUAUUCGUAUCGUAAAGUUCUGUCCUAUGGGAAGAUAAUGACAGUACCAUAGAAGAAAGCUCCGGCUAAAUACGUGCCAGCAGCCGCGGUAAUACGUAUGGAGCGAGCGUUGUCCGGAAUUAUUGGGCGUAAAGGGUACGCAGGCGGUUUAAUAAGUCGAAUGUUAAAGAUCGGGGCUCAACCCCGCAAAGCAUUGGAAACUGAUAAACUUGAGUAGUGGAGAGGAAAGUGGAAUUCCUAGUGUAGUGGUGAAAUACGUAGAUAUUAGGAGGAAUACCAGUAGCGAAGGCGACUUUCUGGACACAAACUGACGCUGAGGUACGAAAGCGUGGGGAGCAAACAGG
rnacentral:rRNA from 1 species